rnacentral:pre_miRNA from 1 species
AAGGUUUUUGAGCCGUAAAUCAAAAUAAUAUUUGCCUUACGGCCCCUAAACCUUAUU